AAACAAAAUCAAGAUCAGAGGUUUUAUUAUCAUCAUCUACAUAUAUCAAAGUUACUGAUUUUUGUUGAUUUUGUUUUUCAUGUGGAACCCUAAAUCUUGGAUAAAAUCGGACUCCGAUCAUUCGUGAACCAACAGAGAUAUGCAUCCCUUGCACAACAGUCCUUCAUUUUUAAAGCUUAUUGAUGAAGAUGACCCGAUAUUUUUGGUGAAGAGCUUCUUUCAGACUCCUUCCCCUACAAGGAACUAUUGAAUGGGUUCCUAUGAGAAGUUGAAGAAAAGUUAUGGAUAAUGAAAACAAUGCUCCUUCGUUAUUAAAGUCGAUUGAGGACUAUGAUCCUAUAUUUUUCGAAUUGUUCGUCGACCAAAAACAGUUAUGGAUCAUGAAAACAACGCUCCUUCGUUGUUAAAGUUGAUUGAGAACUAUGAUCCUAUAUUUUUGGAAAUACCAUAUGAUUUUGCAACCUUAUUGUGGGGAGAACAACUUCCAUAUGUCAAUGUCUUAAAAUUAGUGAUGAUGAUUUAUCGUGAGUCAUUGAGUUAUAAUUUUUGUAUUUAGUUAGUUGUUAAUUCUUUAAAGAUGCCUUUGAUUUCAAUUUUAAAGUUGUUUUUGUUUCUAAACAGAUUACUGUUGUUAAAGAUUAUUUUUGUAUUCGGAAUUA